ensembl:lncRNA
GGAGAAGGCUGAGAUGCUCAAUUACUUCUUUGCCUCAGCCUUCACCGGGCUCUAGCUGCACUGCCCAAGCUGCAGAAAGCAAAGGUAAGAGCUGGAAGAGGGAAGAUCUGCCUGCUGUAAGUGAAGAUCAGGUUUGAGAUCAUCUAAAGAACCUGAAGGUGAACAAGUGCAUGGGAUCUGACACGAUCUUCCCACAGCUUCUAAGGGAACUGGCAGAUGAAGUUGUCAAGCCAUUAUUCAUCAUAUUUGAAAGGUCGUGGCAGUCUGGUGAAGUUCUCACUUACUGGAAAAGGGGAAACAUAAACCACAUUUUCAAGAAGGGAAAAAAAAGAUAAUUCAGGGAACUACAAGCCAGUCAGUCUCACCUCUGCGCCUGGCAAGAUCAUGGAGCAGAUCUUCCUGAUGGCCCUACUAACGCACAUGGAAAAUAAAGAUGAGGUGACUGAUGGUAACCAACAUGGUUUCACCAAGGGCAAGUCGUGCCUGACAAACUCGGUGUCUUUUUAUGAUGGAGUUGCAGCAUCAGCAGAUAUAGGAAGAGCAACUGAUGUCCUCUACCCAGCCUUGUGCAAAGUCUUUGAUGCUGUUCCGCUUGACAUCCUGGUCACCCAAUUGGAGAAAAAUAGAUUGGAUGACCACUCACUGAAUGAAGAGUUGUCUGGAUGGUCACACUCAGAGUUGCAGUCAAUGGCUCAAUGUCCAAGUGCAGUCCGGUGAUGAGUGGUAUUCCUCAGGGAUCAGUGCUGGGACCAGUGUUAUUUCAUGUCUUUGUAGCUGAUAUGGACAGCGGGAUGGAGUGCGCCCUCAGCAAGUUUGCAGACAACACCAAGCUGAUUGGUGCAGUGGACACACUAGAGGGAAUGGAUGCCAUCCAGAAGGACCUGAACAGGCUUGAGAAGUGGGUGAAACACAUACCUCUGAGAGAUAGAUCUGGAUGGGAAGGUGGAGAAGUUGUGACAAAAUGAGUAAAGAAAGAAUAUAGAAGAAGAAACAGAGGAAGCAGGUAUGAACUAGACUGUACCAUUGAUUUAUGAAUGAAAAUCGAGAAGUUUUUCUGAUUCAGGUGCAAAAAUUAAACUAGCCCUUGGGCACUUCCACCUUUGCGACUUUGCAACAGUCCAUAAUAUUUCACCCAGAAUGAUAUGCAUCUGUAUUAUAUGUCACAUGCCUACAGGCACCAAAUAGAUCAUUCUACUGUAAAAAUAGGACUUUUCAUUUAUUUUAUUUAUUGCGAAAUAAAACAUCUUGUUUUUUUUCACCUCUUUCUCCAUGAGUAUAGGGAGAGUCUGGGUCUAUGCUGGCAUUCAAAUGCAGUAGGUAAUUUCCACAACACAGAAGCUGGGGGAUUCUUUUAGUAUUGUUUGCAGAGAAGUCAAAAGCCAGAGUCAGAUCUAUAGGAGUGAGAAAAAUAAUGUCUAGUCAAUGGUCUGUCAUGAAAGUUUGCUAGGUAGGGAUCUUAGGAUGAAAUGCCCUCUGAGUAUCUGUUUCUUUUAUUCCUCUGAGAAAAAGGACAAUCAGUUAUGGACUUUGUUCCUUCAGCUCCUGAUGGCAGAAUCAUAGAAUCAUAGAAUUAUAGGAUGGCUUGGUUUGGAGGUGGCCUUAAAAAUCAUCAGACUCCAGUCCUCUCACUACAGGGUUCCACCCAUGAGCUCAGGCUGCCCAGGAUCCCAUCCAACCUGGCAUUGAAUGCCUCCAGGGAUGGGGCAUUCAGAGUUUCACCGGGCAGCCUGUAGCAGUAGAAAAUUGGUGAGACGUAUCCCAACAUAGGUAUUUAAUAUUUUCUACAGGCAUUGGGGUCCAAGACACUGAGAAGAAAUUCAGCUAUUCAGUGCAGUGGUGGAUCAGCAGUCACAUCCCUGAUAAAGCCCGGAAGCAAGAAACAGAACAUCCCUGAUAAAGCCCCGAAGCAGUCUGCUUUUUUAACCAGUGAAAGGAAAGCCUAGCUCCAUGCCAGCAUUGGCAUUUCCUGCCAUAAGCUUUCCGUGGUGAGGCACAAAUAUUACUUGAAAACAGUCUGCUAAUUUCUGCCAGUUAGUGCUGCAAUCUGCUGCUGCUUUAAAGCACUUGAUGCUUCUCUUUGAGGUGUUACGCUGCCAGUAUUAGGGCCCUGGACUUUAUCACACAAAGAGCCAUAUAUGGGACAGAAGCAGAAAGAAGAUGAUGACCAUUGGCAUAAACACUAAAAUAUUAUUUCCAAACCUUCAGGUUAGCAGUUCAUUCAACAUCACCUUUGCUCCUCGAAAGGCAUGCACUCUGCAUUACACAGUGUUUUAAGGUGUCAGUGUUUAAGUGAAAUUGAUCGAUGCAUGAGGUACAGACAUAAUGAUGAUAUUCUGAAGACAGCUCUGCCUGCAUGGACAGGAUUGUCCUUGCUAGUUUGCAUGCAGAAGGAAUCAUGAUGUCUGUUCCGGGGAACUUGAUAAUCUCUUGCAGUUAAUACUGUAAUUGGAGGUGUUGGAAGAGCUUGUUGAGUUCAUGCCAGGGAAUGUGAGCGUCUCACAAGGCUACGGACACCAUACUAUACACUAACCAACCAACCUGCCUACUGCUGUGGAUGCUUAUACAGAACUCUUGCUUUUGCAAAUCACUCGUCUGAACAGCAAAAUGUUCAACACUCAUUCCUUCAAAAUGUGAUCAUAGAGUGCCAUCAGUAAUAUCCACACAUCUGACUGCAUCCUUGGUGGCAAGGGCAAGCCAUCCUCCCUCUUUUUAAAAGCGAGCAGCAUCUGUCACCACCACCGGGCUCCCACUGCUAUCCCAUGGUGAGGCCAAGGCCAGGCUAGGAUGCGACUACCCUGCUAUCUCUUAGCAGAACUUCCCAGGCUGAUUCCAGCCUCACUGUUUCAGAUCACAAGUGUACAAGUAUGCACUAGAGAAACCAAAUAUCAAAAACAAAGUUGCUUCCUACAGCCUUUGCCAUCCUUCAAGGACAAAAUUUCUGACUUCCAGUGUGUUGCUCAUAGGGAUACAGCUCUGCAAUAAUGCCAUGAAGGCAGAAGUGGCCAUCAGAAAGGGAUAGCAGAAAAUUUCAGCAAGAAUCUUUCGCCUUAAACACAUUUCUUCUGGAGUUUAGCAGAUCUUUGCAGAGAAAUUGUUUGCAGCUCAUCUGUGGUGACUGAGACCAUUGUCUGCUGUUAAGUAAUGAGUUAUUUUUAUCCACCGAAGCUCACCAGCAUCUCUGAGGGUGACGGCACCUUGCCAAGGCUUUGGAAAGUCUGCUUGAGCUGAUACACAAAGAUGAAUGGUUGAGGCAAGCCUGGAGGACACUUCUGAGUCAACCUUACAGAGGGAAUUAAAUCCAAAUAUACCAGGUAGCUCCACAGUGGAGUUGCUGAAAAGUUGUUUUUGCUUCCCUUCUGACAGAUGGCAGAGAAUGAUGUCUCCUGGUCUUUUGGAAAUCCCUUUUACUUUUCCUCCUACAGCAAAAAAGUUCCAAACAGAAGUGUGCAGAAGGGAGAUGCAAAAAGGCACGACGGCAGAAGUUAUACUACAGGAGUUUAAAAGGAAGCUUUU